rnacentral:lncRNA from 1 species
AUGUGCUUGGCUUCACUUAUUUUCUGUUUAGGAUUUUUAUGUUUUAGGAACUCUAGCGCCGAAGUUUCGGUCUGCACAAGAACUGUGAGCACGGCUGCCCCCUGCUGGUGAGCUUGUGAAGCACACCCUCAGGGGCCUGGGGUCUCAGCGCCCUUCAUCCUUUUUUGACACAAAUUCUUAUGACUCUCACUUGAGACAUCCUGGGUUCCUACCAGAGAAACCCAAAGCCCUGGGCCCCUGGUCGGAGAGAAAAGCCUUUGGAGUAGUGGAAGCUUGUUAGGCCCAGGAGCCCCGUCCUCCCAGCAGCACCCACAGUGUGCUGAGCCCGGCUUCCCCAGACGGGUGGGUGCAGGGUGGACAGUGCGGAACACCAGGGUCUCAGGAGCGACGCGCCGGGCCAUGUGGAAACGACGGACUCCCGCCUACCCACGGCUGCAGAAGGGGCCGCCCCAAACCCAGCUGGUUGGACGCGCAGCAGCCGCUCAUCUUUGUCUCCAGGCUUCUCACUCCGUUUUUCUGGGGUUAUGGGUUCAGCGGGAUAGUUCCUGCUCAGACCACACGAAUGACGCGAGAGAGCUGCCACGGAGACCACCAGGAUUGUCUAGGGAUAAUGGCUGGCCAGAGUUGUCACAGGACUUUCUUGCCCACAGGGCUGGCGGCGGCUGGCGGCUGGCGGCUGGGACUGUUAGCGGGAACCCCAGGAGCAAGCUCCCUGGGCUAGGCCGCCAGGGCAAGCGCACCAGGAGGGUGUGCCUGGUCUUUUGCAAACCAGCCUCAGAAGGCGCAGAGCAGGACCUCCCUGAGCUCUGCUGGGGUCAUGGAGCCUGA